rnacentral:rRNA from 1 species
UACGUAGGGUGCGAGCGUUGUCCGGAAUUAUUGGGCGUAAAGAGCUUGUAGGUGGUUUGUCGCGUCUGCUGUGAAAAUCCGGGGCUCAACCCCGGACUUGCAGUGGGUACGGGCAGACUAGAGUGUGGUAGGGGAGACUGGAAUUCCUGGUGUAGCGGUGGAAUGCGCAGAUAUCAGGAGGAACACCGAUGGCGAAGGCAGGUCUCUGGGCC